rnacentral:rRNA from 1 species
UCUGUUGUUAGGGAAGAACAAGUGCUAGUUGAAUAAGCUGGCACCUUGACGGUACCUAACCAGAAAGCCACGGCUAACUACGUGCCAGCAGCCGCGGUAAUACGUAGGUGGCAAGCGUUAUCCGGAAUUAUUGGGCGUAAAGCGCGCGCAGGUGGUUUCUUAAGUCUGAUGUGAAAGCCCACGGCUCAACCGUGGAGGGUCAUUGGAAACUGGGAGACUUGAGUGCAGAAGAGGAAAGUGGAAUUCCAUGUGUAGCGGUGAAAUGCGUAGAGAUAUGGAGGAACACCAGUGGCGAAGGCGACUUUCUGGUCUGUAACUGACACUGAGGCGCGAAAGCGUGGGGAGCAAACAGGAUUAGAUACCCUGGUAGUCCACGCCGUAAACGAUGAGUGCUAAGUGUUAGAGGGUUUCCGCCCUUUAGUGCUGAAGUUAACGCAUUAAGCACUCCGCCUGGGGAGUACGGCUGCAAGGCUGAAACUCAAAGGAAUUGACGGGGGCCCGCACAAGCGGUGGAGCAUGCGGUUUAAUUCGAAGCAACGCGAAGAACCUUACCAGGUCUUGACAUCCUCUGACAACCCUAGAGAUAGGGCUUCUCCUUCGGGAGCAGAGUGACAGGUGGUGCAUGGUUGUCGUCAGCUCGUGUCGUGAGAUGUUGGGUUAAGUCCCGCAACGAGCGCAACCCUUGAUCUUAGUUGCCAUCAUUUAGUUGGGCACUCUAAGGUGACUGCCGGUGACAAACCGGAGGAAGGUGGGGAUGACGUCAAAUCAUCAUGCCCCUUAUGACCUGGGCUACACACGUG